AGCCUAAACCUGUUAGAAUAGCAGGCAUGGCACCAAACACCACGAACAUACUGACCCCGUCGUCAGCUCCAUGUUCGUGGUCUAUGCCCGAAAGGGUAUAGGAGGGCGCAAGCUCUC
rnacentral:sRNA from 1 species